AAAUCUUCUCUCUUUUACUGAAAAAAGAGACGCACGAACUCGAUUUCCCUUCCUAUUCCCCAUUCUCCCUCCCUUGUGUUGGACAACGCCGCCGCCGCCUCCCACCUUCUCGUCGUUCUCGGAGGACGAGGGCAGGAAAAAUAUCGCCUCUGGUGGCUGCACCGUUGUGCCCUCCACCCGCCCCGCCGUAGCAACGGGACUUUGUGCGGCUCCCUCUUAUUUCAGCUCCACCCGCGCCACCGUCGACGGUGCGGCUCUCUCCGACGCCUACAGGGCCUCCUCGCGCGGCUGCACCGGCGCUCCUAUCCGGCAGAGGAGGAGUAGGAGGCCGCUGCUUCCUCGGCAUGGUCCUGCUCACCGACGACGAGGACCUGCGAGGAGACGACUCCACUGCUCCGAGCUCCUCCGACCUACUGCUGCCGGCGCCAUGGAGGUCCACCCCCCACUCUCGCCCCUCUCCCCCUCUCUUUCCAUGUACCGCACUGCAGCAGCGAACUUAGUUCUAAUCUGCACGAAAGAUUACUGAAGUUAAUCUGGGCAACAACAUGCGCUCGUCCAUUAACAUUUUAGAUGCAAAGUUUAGGACUAACUGAACCAUAGAUUUGCAGAGCAGAUGGCAAGGAACUGGUUAGAAGGUUCAGUUAUGUAACUUUUGGGAAGUACAGUUAGUUAUUGCAUGAUUAAACUACACUUGAGCACCUGUCCCUAGCAGCUCAGAACUAAAUGUAAUGAUUGCCUUACUUUGUAUGCUUUUCUGAAUAAAAUGCAGAGUGUAGAGAUGAUCUGAAAUAAGAGAGGACGAAACUUGUUACUUGUUCCCGGCUGUGUGUCUCUUGUUUCUUAAUAGUCGCAGAUGUAGCUUUUAUUCUUGUUUCUUGUUGCCGAGUCUAGAAAUAACAUGCCCUCGUCAUCUGGCGUCCUUAUCGCCGCGUUCAACCCUGUGCACUAAGACCCCUAGCAGCUGUGACUGGUGUUGGUGCUGCUGUUUGUAUCGCUACAGCAGUGAAGGCCACGGGUCUUGUGAGAUUAUUAAUUAGGUAUACUUCCAUCUAGUUCUUCCAUUCUAUAUAGUAUAUCCAACAAAUUAUAUUCAUCUGCCCUUUCUGUUCGAUCCUUUCUAAAAUGUGCAUAUAUAUAGUUUUCUGGUUUGUUUGUUUAUCUUCCGCUAUGAAAUUGAUAUGUACUUUUACAAAAUUGGUCAGAUAUAUUUCGGGUUCCAUGGGAGGUAGAGAAUGUGACGUUUAGAAAAAUCAGGGCAGCGGCAAGAUUUCCAAGGAGAGAAAUAUGUUAUUUUGGCUUGUGAUCAUCUAUCAUUGCAUCGUAGACUGACAAAGGUGAUGAAGAAUUGUGUAGUGUCUAUGUGCCAACCAAUCAUCUAUAUAUUGGUGAUACCUUUUUGGUGAACUCUGGAAAUUAUAAGGCCAAUCUGUCCAUUCGAGAAUUAUAUUGGUGAUAUCGUUUUGGUGAACUCUGCGGAAAUUUAAGCUUCUUAUCAUUUCCAUUGUUUUCUUCAAAAAAGAAUUAUUUGAUGUCUUCUAUAGCAUCUCCUUUAAAUGCUAAAUCCUAUCAGCACUUGUGAAUACUAUAUACUGUUCUUGUCUUGACCUUUUUUUCAUCAUCGUUGCAAUUUCAUUUUAUGUCCAGCUAUGAGACUGGUUGGACCUCUCACUCUAUCAUGCUAUGCCAUCGUCCAUUCUCAUACUUUCAAGAGCGUUUAUCGUAUCUGGGAGAAUGAAACAUGAGGAGACUGUUGUAGCAAUAUCGUCUUCUCUACCAUAUGAAGUUGUGGAUAGAGUUGGUACAAUAUUGCCAUAUGAAGAUUCAGUUUUCGAGGAGGAAAAAACUGGAAUUCCUUGAGAUGCAGGAAGAACUUAUCAAGGCGAUGUAUGUCUUACAAAUAUUAAAAAUGGACUAUUUUUACAUCAUCCGUUAAUGCAGCCAUGAUACUUGCCGUAGAUAUGAAACUCACAUUGGUCGUACUUCUGGUAAGCUAAUAGUAAGUGGGGCAUGAGUAAUUCAUAUUAUGGACUUCUUUUGUCUGACACCCCAUGUAACAUACGCUACUAUUGCAUGUCCUUCCACGUGCUUGUUUUGUCAUGAUUGAAGCUCGUUAAUAUUUCU